CAGUCGCCGCGGUAAUACGUAGGGUGCGAACGUUAAUCGGAAUUACUGGGCGUAAAGCGUGCGCAGGCGGUUGUGUAAGACAGGUGUGAAAUCCCCGGGCUUAACCUGGGAACUGCGCUUGUGACUGCACAGCUAGAGUAUGGCAGAGGGGGGUGGAAUUCCACGUGUAGCAGUGAAAUGCGUAGAGAUGUGGAGGAACACCGAUGGCGAAGGCAGCCCCCUGGGCCAAUACUGACGCUCAUGCACGAAAGCGUGGGGAGCAAACAGGAUUAGAUACCCCCGUAGUCCCUGUCUCUUAUAC
rnacentral:rRNA from 1 species